rnacentral:rRNA from 1 species
GCGUAGUCGAUGGGAAACGGGUUAAUAUUCCCGUACUUGGUGUUACUGCGAAGGGGGGACGGAGAAGGCUAUGUUGGCCGGGCGACGGUUGUCCCGGUUUAAGCGUGUAGGUGUGUGUUCCAGGUAAAUCCGGUUCACUUUAACACUGAGGCGUGACGACGAGGCACUACGGUGCUGAAGCAACAAAUGCCCUGCUUCCAGGAAAAGCCUCUAAGCAUCAGGUAACAUCAAAUCGUACCCCAAACCGACACAGGUGGUCAGGUAGAGAAUACCAAGGCGCUUGAGAGAACUCGGGUGAAGGAACUAGGCAAAAUGGUGCCGUAACUUCGGGAGAAGGCACGCUGACACGUAGGUGAAGUGAUUUACUCAUGGAGCUGAAGUCAGUCGAAGAUACCAGCUGGCUGCAACUGUUUAUUAAAAACACAGCACUGUGCAAACACGAAAGUGGACGUAUACGGUGUGACGCCUGCCCGGUGCCGGAAGGUUAAUUGAUGGGGUCAGCGCAAGCGAAGCUCCUGAUCGAAGCCCCGGUAAACGGCGGCCGUAACUAUAACGGUCCUAAGGUAGCGAAAUUCCUUGUCGGGUAAGUUCCGACCUGCACGAAUGGCGUAAUGAUGGCCAGGCUGUCUCCACCCGAGACUCAGUGAAAUUGAACUCGCUGUGAAGAUGCAGUGUACCCGCGGCAAGACGGAAAGACCCCGUGAACCUUUACUAUAGCUUGACACUGAACAUUGAGCCUUGAUGUGUAGGAUAGGUGGGAGGCUUUGAAGUGUGGACGCCAGUCUGCAUGGAGCCGACCUUGAAAUACCACCCUUUAAUGUUUGAUGUUCUAACGUGGACCCGUAAUCCGGGUUGCGGACAGUGUCUGGUGGGUAGUUUGACUGGGGCGGUCUCCUCCUAAAGAGUAACGGAGGAGCACGAAGGUUGGCUAAUCCUGGUCGGACAUCAGGAGGUUAGUGCAAUGGCAUAAGCCAGCUUGACUGCGAGCGUGACGGCGCGAGCAGGUGCGAAAGCAGGUCAUAGUGAUCCGGUGGUUCUGAAUGGAAGGGCCAUCGCUCAACGGAUAAAAGGUACUCCGGGGAUAACAGGCUGAUACCGCCCAAGAGUUCAUAUCGACGGCGGUGUUUGGCACCUCGAUGUCGGCUCAUCACAUCCUGGGGCUGAAGUAGGUCCCAAGGGUAUGGCUGUUCGCCAUUUAAAGUGGUACGCGAGCUGGGUUUAGAACGUCGUGAGACAGUUCGGUCCCUAUCUGCCGUGGGCGCUGGAGAACUGAGGGGGGCUGCUCCUAGUACGAGAGGACCGGAGUGGACGCAUCACUGGUGUUCGGGUUGUCAUGCCAAUGGCACUGCCCGGUAGCUAAAUGCGGAAGAGAUAAGUGCUGAAAGCAUCUAAGCACGAAACUUGCCCCGA